AGUGAACGCUGGCGGUAGGCCUAACACAUGCAAGUCGAACGGCAGCACAGUAAGAGCUUGCUCUUACGGGUGGCGAGUGGCGGACGGGUGAGGAAUACAUCGGAAGCUACUUUUUCGUGGGGGAUAACGUAGGGAAACUUACGCUAAUACCGCAUACGACAUACGGGUGAAAGCAGCGGAUCUUCGGACCUUGCGCGAUUGAAUGAGCCGAUGUCGGAUUAGCUAGUUGGCGGGGUAAAGGCCCACCAAGGCGACGAUCCGUAGCUGGUCUGAGAGGAUGAUCAGCCACACUGGAACUGAGACACGGUCCAGACUCCUACGGGAGGCAGCAGUGGGGAAUAUUGGACAAUGGGCGAAAGCCUGAUCCAGCCAUACCGCGUGGGUGAAGAAGGCCUUCGGGUUGUAAAGCCCUUUUGUUGGGAAAGAAAAGCAGCAGGUUAAUACCCCGCUGUUCUGACGGUACCCAAAGAAUAAGCACCGGCUAACUUCGUG
rnacentral:rRNA from 1 species